rnacentral:rRNA from 1 species
AGAGCGAACGCUGGCGGCAGGCUUAACACAUGCAAGUCGAGCGGGCGUAGCAAUACGUCAGCGGCAGACGGGUGAGUAACGCGUGGGAACGUACCUUUUGGUUCGGAACAACCCAGGGAAACUUGGGCUAAUACCGGAUAGGCCCUUACGGGGAAAGAUUUAUCGCCGAAAGAUCGGCCCGCGUCUGAUUAGCUAGUUGGUGAGGUAAUGGCUCACCAAGGCGACGAUCAGUAGCUGGUCUGAGAGGAUGAUCAGCCACAUUGGGACUGAGACACGGCCCAAACUCCUACGGGAGGCAGCAGUGGGGAAUAUUGGACAAUGGGCGCAAGCCUGAUCCAGCCAUGCCGCGUGAGUGAUGAAGGCCCUAGGGUUGUAAAGCUCUUUUGUGCGGGAAGAUAAUGACGGUACCGCAAGAAUAAGCCCGGCUAACUUCGCGCCAGCAGCCGC